CACCCCCUCCAAGUCCGUGGAAAAACCUCUGUUCAUGGAAGCGGUCCCUGGCGCCCAAAAGUUUGGGGGCUGCUGAUGUAUGUAUUUAAUGUCAAA